CGUUAAUGGACGCCCGUGUCUCUUUUCCUUUUCAUUUCCCCCUUUUCGAAAGGGGGGCAGAGAGGGAGCGAAAGGAGGAGGCGCUCGAGCGGCGGAGGGGACGAGGCGAUUUUAGUCUGGUUCAUGGCGGUGGCGAGAUCCCUCUCUCCUCGAGCUUGAGAGUUCUCCCCGAUUCGUUGUAUCUCAACAGGUAGACUGCGGAAAGUCUGUUGCAAGGAUGUUCCCCUAGUUUCUUCAGUCGAGAGUGCUGAUUCCUUGAAAGACCCUUAUGUGCCUAAUGAUUUUGCUGAUGAUGGUUCUAAUGCUAUGUCUUUGGGUUGUCCCGUUGAUGAUGAAGAGUUUGAUAAAGCACUUUACAAUUUCUAUGUGAAUAAUAAAGUCAAGUACCUGAAGAGAAAAUUAUCAUCUGCUGGCAGAAGGAAUGUUUUGAAAAGGAAAUUCAUCCCCUUAACUCUGACCCCUAUGUUCCUCAAGUAAAUCGUUAUUCGGUUUCUGCUCAAGAAAGGUGUCACCAUCUUGCCAUGAUUCAGAUUGCAAGUCAUCAGAAUGUUCAAAGCCCGUGUAGACAAUUUCUUGAUCUUGUGCGUGUGUCGUUAUCUAUUCAAUGAAGCUCACCCUUCCAUUUCUAAGAAGCAUUUCUUCUUCUCAUAUAUUGUUUGCUAAUAGUGCUUUUCCCAUGUGGAGAAGCAAUAUGGUGGUCUAGCGUGAAGAUUUUCUUGGUGGUCAACAAGACUGGAGAUUCAUCCAUCCUUUAUUAGCUUCGUAUAGUUUUCAUGAUGUGUUAGCUAUUUUGAUACAACAGUAUUAUUGGUCCAAGAAUGUUCUGAUUCAAUGUACUUUUUAGACCGAUAACUUGUAUCAUCGCCCCUGUAACAGUUUUAGGUUCCUUUUGUUACUGGAAUGCUUUUCUGGUGCAUUAUUAGCUAUUUUUACCUGAAUGGUU